rnacentral:misc_RNA from 1 species
GAAAUUUGGAAGGAAUUUUUAUUAAUAUGUUGGCUUUUUCUUGCAUUUAUACGAAAAGAUAGACCAAAUAAUAUUAAUAGUAAUAAAUAAGUUUAUGAUAUACAGUAUAUAUACAGUAUAUUAUUAUAACUAUUUAAGGUACAUUAUCUUUGAAAUUGAAGUCAUUCGUUAUCGAAUAUGAUUUUAUCUGAAAGAUUUUUUCAAUAUUUUUUAUAUCAGAAGCAUAAAUAAUAAUAAGAUAAGAAUAUAAAUGCUUUAUUAUCUUAAAACCGGAACAGUACUUAUAGUAUCUUGUCUUCUAGAUGGGUAUCUACAACCUAUUUUGACCCAAUAUAUUCAAUUGCAUAAUUAAAGUAUUACGAGUCUUAAAAAUUUCCCACGAGAAGUAAACACCAACUUAAUCACUUUAAAAGAGAAGCACGAAACCACUGGUAAUUUGAGAUUUUGCUAAAGGGAUUAACAGCGACUCUAUACUUCACCGCUAGAUGGCGUUAAAUAAUAAAAAAAAGGUGACAUUGAUUCAAGUUCUCUCGCAACAACAACGACAUCUAGCGGUGAAUUCUCAAGCAACGUUGAACAGAGUUCUAUAGCCAAUCUAAACGAAACAAAGAAACACUGGGAACAGUUUGCAGCUGAAUCGGAAAAUCAAAAUAACGCCAAUAUUCAAGAGAUGAACGAGGAGUUGGUAGACAGCGCCAUCGAUAGGGAAAUUAAGGCGACGAAUGAAAGGGAAUAUCAAUUGAAAAAAGAGAGAGAUAUGUUGAUUAAUUCUCAGGAUUUUCAAGAAAUGACUGAAGUUGAUCGCGAUACCCACGCUCAAAGUGACGUUAUUGAAGAGGACGACUUGGCCGAUGAUUUAGAAAGAAGUCUUGAUAUUAAUGAAAAAAGUGUGGUAAGAGAAGAAUCUCUGAUUGAACGGGAAAUAAGAUUGGCAAAAGAGAGGGAGGAAGAAUUGCGUCAACAGCGUACCUCUUUGGCGCAGAACAAGUGCUCUCCACCCUCGACGCCUGUAACUCCAAUAAAAGCGAAGCCUACUCCGAAAUUUUCCAAUAGUACGCCGCCUACGCUUCCAUCAACCCCGUCUUCCGUUCAUACGAAUUCACCUACAACUUCUGGUCGAUAUGAAAAUUCAACAAGAAUGAUUGAAUCGAGAUUAGCCAGAGAACUAAGAGAACAAAGGGAAAAAGAAGAUGAAUUGCGAAGUCUUAGAAAACAGAUGGGAUUGUUUACAGAGGUUGAUGGUGUCGAAACGACUCCUAUAUUACCAAACGUUCCGAAAGUUGAAACUCCUCCUCCAACCCCCGAAGUUGCUAUUUCUCCUGCUCCGUUUGUUGAGACUACCCCUCCUCCAGAUUCGCCGCCACCUUCUCGAAUUAAGGUGGCACCCUUACUCGAAGAAGACAAAACCGACUUGAGUCAAUUCGCAACCGUUUCGAGUGAAACACCUAUCGAAAGAGAAAUAAGAUUAGCUAGAGAGCGGGAGGAGAGUUUUAGGAGAGAGAAAGGUAUUAAACUAAAGGCUUAUCAAGAAGAGCAAAUCAUGAGCGUUCCCCAACAAAAACCUAUCGAAGAAUCACCAAACAACUUAAAUAAGGCCAAUCAGAGUCAGAGCUAUAAAAAAUGGGCUCACACUAGAAUACAAAACGAAAUAAAACUAGAACAGGCUAGAGAAGAAAAUUUAAGGCAUCAAGGUCGUAUAAUUAGUACUUCUAAAGAUUACGAACCCGAUAGGAAAAAGUAUCAGGAAGUUGCUCCUGUUGAAGGUUCACCCUCAUUCAGGAGAGUUAAUGGUUCCCCAACCAAGAUACACAAUGAUAUUCAACCAAAAAUAAAAACUGAAGAAAUUAAUCGUAAAUUAUCUGAUGUAUCUCAACCAGAUUCACCGGACGUAUCGGUUAAAAGCGAGCCCGAGCCUGUGGUUGUAGUACCUAAACCACCUCCGCCUAAAGAUAACGUUCCAAAACCAAUAAGCACCAGUUCGUCAAUGAACUUUCAACAUUCUUCGGUUCAACCGACUAGUGUGAAAAGAUCUACAAGCGAAAGCUUAAUAAGAUCCUCACCCAGCGGACAAGACCGAAUAGAAAGAGAAGUGAGAGAAAUGAAAGCAAGAGAGAUUGAACUAAGAAGGCAAAGACAUUCACUUGGCAUCUAUCAGAAUGAACUGAUAGCAGAUGACGAAUUAGACUCUGAAAUAUUCUCUCCAACAAUCUCCUCCCAAUCAACAGAUGUUAAUUCAGCUGAAAGAAGUCGAAGAAGAAGUAAGCUAGAAGCUGAUUGGCAGCAAAAAAUUCAACAGAGUUUGCAUAACUAAUAAAAAUUUUGUCAUAUUUAGUUUAUCAGUGAUUUCUGCUAAACAGUUGGUUAAAUGAUUUAAUUAAUAAUUACAUAAUCUCUAAUCUAUAUACAGUAUAUAUAUAUAUAUAUAUACAUAUAUAUAUACAGUAUAUCAAUAAUGUCCUAUUGUUUAAGAAUUGUAAGAGUAUUUUUGUCUUUUUAUUUUCGUCAACAAGACCGUAGUAAAGAAAAAAAUAUCACAUUGUUUAGAAAAUAAUUAAUAUACAGUAGUAUUCAAGUUUUGAAGGAUGAAAUAAUAGUAUACAAAUAAUAUAAUUGUUAGUUUUUGCUCCUCCUCCAACUCCUCUCCGCCCAUCUUCUUUUGUUCACUAUCUUUCUAAUUCUUUAUAGAUACACCUUUUUCAAUUUUUAAAGUACGGAGAAAGUGAAAAAUAACAUAUAACAAUACAUAAAUUUCUUAAGGAAUUCUUAUCCCUUAAUUUCAACAUUUUAAUAUUAAAGUCUCUUAUUUAUUAUUACUAUUAUUAUUGCACUUUGAAACUACUCAAUUAAAU